rnacentral:rRNA from 1 species
UACGAAGGGGGCUAGCGUUGUUCGGAAUUACUGGGCGUAAAGCGCGUGUAGGCGGGUCUUUUAAGUUCAGGGGUGAAAUGCCAAGGCUCAACCUUGGAACUGCCUUUGAUACUGGAGACCUUGAGUCCGGGAGAGGUGAGUGGAAUUGCGAGUGUAGAGGUGAAAUCGUAGAUAUUCGCAAGAACACCAGUGGCGAAGGCGGCUCACUGGCCCGGAACUGACGCUGAGAUGCGAAAGCGUGGGGAGCAAACAGG